CGGUAAUGGUAGGUAAUCGCCACCUCGCUUAAAUUGUCAAAAAAUAAUAUUCCCUUCCCAGGAAAUAAUUUUGAAAAUUUUUGUGGGGUGGAGGAAAGUCCGGACUCCAUAGGGCGGGAAGUCCUGUUUUAAACAGGAUGCUGCGGAGAAAAUCCGUGGGAAGGAAAGCGCCACAGAAAAUAAACCGCCAUACUACUUAAGCGCAUAAUAAAUGCGUGCGAUGUAAAUCAUGCGUUAUUUCUUUAGCGCUUAGGUAGUGUGGUAAGGGUGAAAAGGCGGUAUAAGAGACCACCGUGAGAAUCCGCAAGGGUUUUCGCAAGGCAAGCCCCUUCCGGAGCAAGGCCAAAUAGGGGAUUCGCUGCUGCCCGCAGCUAUAAUCCCGGGUUCUGGCUGCUUAGAUAGAUGAUUGCCAUUCCUGAAAAGGAAAACAGAAUCCGGCUUAUUCCAUUACCGCUUU
rnacentral:RNase_P_RNA from 3 species